AUCUUUCUGCAGUUCAGAAGCAUGAUCACUGGGUGUUCACACUCCUGUGCAGGAUGUGCCCCCCUUAAACCCUCUAGGUUUUUUUCUUUAUGUGCAUCUCAUUAUGAAA